GUGAACCCUAAGUUUCUCUUCAAAGAAUCAGUAUGUCAGUAUGUCCAGCUCUCUUAUUCUUUGAUUCUUCAUUUUAAAGUUUAACUUCCUAGUUCUCUUCAACUCCUUGCCUCUAGUUUCAGUAAACAACUUUCCCGCCAGUCCAAAUCAGUAGUUCACAGCUGUUCCCUUGGUGGUCACCUGCUCUGACCUAAGUCACCUUUAGUUACCUGUUCCUAACUGCCCUUCCCACCAAACUACUCACCUCACCACUCCAGCUCAUACUCCUGCUCUUUUUAACAUAGCCAAUCAGAAUUAGCUUAGACUGUGCGGUCCAAUCCUAGCCAUUAGGGCAACAACACAGCAGUAGGGGCUACUAGCGUCAGGAAUAAGAACUCCUGCCCCUCCCCUGUCCUGGUAUGAUCUCACCAUUGUUCCAUCUGUGAGGAGCACCCUUUCUGCAGAAAGUAAAAAUUGCCUUGCUGAGAAAAUUAAAUGUAUGUUUGAGUGCUAUUUCUUUGCAGCACCAGGGAACAAGCAUUUUGCAUUUCUAACAGUUUGGUGGCCCAUGCAGGGACCCACUCUCCUCUGGGCGGUCUCCAGUCCUCUCUUGUAAGGAGGUGCCCCGCCGCCUCAUUUCGGCAGCCUCAGGGGUGAGGAACCGAGACCUACCUGGUGUGAUGAAUAAACCCAGACUCUCAGCAAUGUGGAAAGAAACUGGCCGGUGACCUGGGGUAAAGGAUCCUUACAUACCACGUGGACCAGACAACAUCACGCACAAGCCAAAGAAGGAAACAGCGGAGGAGCUGUUCUAAUUUCAGCCUACUGCUUCCACAGCAUGUCUGCUUUCAGCCUGGUGACACAAUCGUUUUUAACUUUAACCAGAUGACUAAGACUCUUCUUUGUCUUACGGAAGCCAAA
rnacentral:lncRNA from 10 species